GAGGCCUAACAACUGCUCUGCAUCUCCGGUGGAAUUUUCCAGUUUGGUGCAAUAUCCUUGGAGUGAAGGAAGGGAGAUCAUAGGAAGAUAAUUUACUUUAGUUAGUUGGGACUGUUCAUAAACCACGCCUCCCAGCCAUUGCCUUCAGUCUCUUUCCGUACAAGGGAAAAACCCUUUCCAGAUGGAGUAGUGCAUUUCUGUCUUGAAAGCCCGCCCUCCAGAUAAAAGUUUCUAUCUCUGCUACC
rnacentral:lncRNA from 1 species